AGGUCUUGACAUCCCGAUGCUAUUUCUAGAGAUAGAAAGUUACUUCGGUUACAUCGGUGACAGGUGGUGCAUGGUUGUCGUCAGCUCGUGUCGUGAGAUGUUGGGUUAAGUCCCGCAACGAGCGCAACCCCUAUUGUUAGUUGCCAUCAUUCAGUUGGGCACUCUAGCGAGACUGCCGGUAAUAAACCGGAGGAAGGUGGGGAUGACGUCAAAUCAUCAUGCCCCUUAUGACCUGGGCUACACACGUGCUACAAUGGUUGGUACAACGAGUUGCGAGUCGGUGACGGCGAGCUAAUCUCUUAAAGCCAAUCUCAGUUCGGAUUGUAGGCUGCAACUCGCCUACAUGAAGUCGGAAUCGCUAGUAAUCGCGGAUCAGCACGCCGCGGUGAAUACGUUCCCGGGCCUU
rnacentral:rRNA from 1 species